rnacentral:sRNA from 1 species
UUUGUAUAUCACACUCUGAAUAUAAUUCUUGUCACUGUGGAUUUGGGCUCCCUUUCUAUGUCCAAUUCCUCUUCCCUUAUUUAGGCUCAGGGGAGAGAGAAAGCCCAGAAAGAAAGCUACUCCAGGGUCCUAUGGAUAUUUCAGAGAAGUUAUUUUGUUCAACUUGUGACCAGACCUUCCAGAACCACCAAGAACAGAGGGAACAUUAUAAGCUUGACUGGCAUCGGUUUAACCUAAAGCAACGUCUCAAGGACAAGCCUCUCCUGUCUGCCCUGGACUUUGAAAAGCAGAGUUCCACAGGAGAUCUUUCCAGCAUCUCGGGAUCAGAAGACUCAGACUCAGCCAGUGAGGAGGACUUGCAGACACUGGAUCGGGAGAGGGCUACAUUUGAGAAGUUGAGCCGACCCCCAGGCUUUUACCCUCAUCGAGUUCUUUUCCAGAAUGCCCAGGGCCAGUUUCUUUAUGCCUACCGCUGUGUCCUAGGCCCUCAUCAGGCAAGUGACAGUACAGGUUGCAUGGCUAACCCCAGCCUUUUGUACACCCAGCCUAGAUUUCCCUUAGCCUAGUGCA